GGGUUCCACCUCUUCCCAUUCCGAACAGAGAAGUUAAGCCUGCUUGCGCCGAUGGUACUGCAAUGCAAUGCGGGAGAGUAGGUAGCCGCCU
rnacentral:rRNA from 1 species